UACGUAGGGGGCAAGCGUUGUCCGGAAUCAUUGGGCGUAAAGCGCGUGUAGGCGGUCCGGUAAGUCCGCUGUGAAAGUCGGGGGCUCAACCCUCGGAUGCCGGUGGAUACUGUCGGGCUUGAGUACGGAAGAGGCGAGUGGAAUUCCUGGUGUAGCGGUGAAAUGCGCAGAUAUCAGGAGGAACACCAAUUGCGAAGGCAGCUCGCUGGGACGUUACUGACGCCGAGACGCGAAAGCGUGGGGAGCGAACAGG
rnacentral:rRNA from 1 species